CCAGAGCGGACGUGCCAGGAUGCAGAGAGGCCACGGGAACCAAGGGUGGGGACAGCCACUUGUAACGCCACUGUGGGUGUCUGAGAUCCGGGUCUCCCCCCAGAGCCUGCCCCAUCCCUGUAAACACAACUCCACCUUCCCAGUGCUUCAGCCACAUCCGCCACAAACACCAUGGUGCAAACAUCCAGCUGUAGCCUCGGGGCCCAGAACAGCGCCCCACGCACAGGACUCGCUCUGUGAGGAGUCGGUGAGCGAGUGAAGUGAGCGAGUGAAUGACGCACUGCUCUGAGCCACCGCCUCGAAGACGAGCUCGGGGAGGAGAACGGAAGCUGGCCUGGCCCGGAGCUCGGAACCCAGAGCGGAUGCCUCGUGCGGCGUCCCUCAGGACGAGCCUCCAGGAGCCCGGGCUCCUGUCACACGGCACAGAGGGUCCCUGCGCAGGGAUGUGACCGCAGGGACCGCCCCAGGGCCAGGGCCAGGCGUGGCCGGGUGCACUUUCCUAGAACGAGCCUGAGGUCGCCGGUCCUGUGCCUGGACCAUCACCCCGGGCGGCCUGCUGUCCACAGGAAGGAGCCGGACAGUCGGGCAAGGGGAGCUUGAUGCCACCGAGCUCUCGUCCUGGGCCGCCCACGCUCCAGGUGGGGAAACGCAGGGGACCAGGGGACGCGAUCUGGGGCAGAGCCGCCCGAGACCAGCCAGAGUGCCUCCCUGACGGAAGUUUCCAGGAGCCUUGGCCCCGAUCCCUUUUCUCACCACUCCUUGUGAGUCAGUGGGGCAGGAUUACUAGAGCCCAACUUGGCAAAUGAGGAAACUGAGGCACAGCCAAGAAGGCAAUUCUUGGUGGACGGCAAAGCGACUCGACAAUUAUCGGUGACUGGAGGCUGCCAGACUGACUCCCGCUGAUGAGAAGCCUGAUUACAUGUCCCUGGUCUUCAGCCCCAGGAGACGGCAAUUACACCUGUUUAUAAUCCGCCCCCCCCCUC